rnacentral:rRNA from 1 species
AAAUUGAAGAGUUUGAUCAUGGCUCAGAUUGAACGCUGGCGGCAGGCCUAACACAUGCAAGUCGAGCGGUAGCACAGAGAGCUUGCUCUCGGGUGGCGAGCGGCGGACGGGUGAGUAAUGUCUGGGAAACUGCCUGAUGGAGGGGGAUAACUACUGGAAACGGUAGCUAAUACCGCAUAACGUCGCAAGACCAAAGUGGGGGACCUUCGGGCCUCAUGCCAUCAGAUGUGCCCAGAUGGGAUUAGCUAGUAGGUGGGGUAACGGCUCACCUAGGCGACGAUCCCUAGCUGGUCUGAGAGGAUGACCAGCCACACUGGAACUGAGACACGGUCCAGACUCCUACGGGAGGCAGCAGUGGGGAAUAUUGCACAAUGGGCGCAAGCCUGAUGCAGCCAUGCCGCGUGUGUGAAGAAGGCCUUCGGGUUGUAAAGCACUUUCAGCGGGGAGGAAGGCGUUAAGGUUAAUAACCUUG